AGAGUUUGAUCCUGGCUCAGAACAAACGCUGGCGGCGUGCCUAACACAUGCAAGUCGUACGAGAAAGGGUCCUUCGGGACCUGAGUAAAGUGGCGCACGGGUGAGUAACGCGUGGAUAAUCUGCCCUUCAGUUGGGAAUAACUCAUCGAAAGGUGGGCUAAUACCGAAUGAUACUGCGAGACUUUGGUCGAGCAGUCAAAGAGAGCCUCUGCUUGCAAGCCCUCGCUGAAGGAUGAGUCCGCGUACCAUUAGCUAGUUGGUAGGGUAAUGGCCUACCAAGGCGACGAUGGUUAGCUGGUCUGAGAGGAUGAUCAGCCACACUGGAACUGAGACACGGUCCAGACUCCUACGGGAGGCAGCAGUGAGGAAUCUUGCGCAAUGGGGGCAACCCUGACGCAGCAACGCCGCGUGAGUGAGGAAGGUCUUCGGAUCGUAAAGCUCUGUCAGAUGGAAAGAACCGCAUGGGGAUAAAUAGUCCUCGUGUCUGACGGUACCAUCAGAGGAAGCACCGGCUAACUCCGUGCCAGCAGCCGCGGUAAUACGGGGGGUGCAAGCGUUGUUCGGAAUUAUUGGGCGUAAAGAGCGUGUAGGCGGCCUGAUGUGUCAGAUGUGAAAGCCCUGGGCUCAACCCAGGAAGUGCAUUUGAAACUGUCAGGCUCGAGUAGGGGAGAGGGAAGUGGAAUUCCUGGUGUAGAGGUGAAAUUCGUAGAUAUCAGGAGGAACACCGGUGGCGAAGGCGACUUCCUGGCCCUAUACUGACGCUGAGACGCGAGAGCGUGGGUAGCAAACAGGAUUAGAUACCCUGGUAGUCCACGCCGUAAACGAUGUUCACUAGGUGUUGGGGGUAUUGACCCCCUCAGUGCCGGAGCUAACGCAUUAAGUGAACCGCCUGGGGAGUACGGUCGCAAGACUAAAACUCAAAGGAAUUGACGG
rnacentral:rRNA from 1 species